rnacentral:tRNA from 1 species
AGCAUGGUGUAGUGGUUUGAGUGUUGGACUGUGACUCUGAAGAUCAGGGUUCGAUUCCCAGCUUAGCCA